GCUGCGCUAGUAUAGUGGUCAGUACUUCUCGUUGUGGUUCCGACAUACAGCGAUCCGAGAGGACCCAUGUUCGAUUCAUGGGCGCAGCA